rnacentral:rRNA from 1 species
UACGUAGGGGGGCGAGCGUUGUCCGAAUUUACUGGGCGUAAAGAGCGCGUAGGCGGAUUGUUAAGUGAGAGGUGAAAAGGUUCAGGGCUCAACCCGAACAGUGCCUUUUCAUACUGGCGAUCUUUGAGUAUGGGGAGAGGCGAGUGGAAAUUUUCUGGUGUAGCGGUGAAAAUGCGUAGAUAUCAGAAGGAACACCCCUGGCGAAGGCAGCUCGCUGGCCCUAUAACUGACGCUGAGGCGCGAAAAGCGUGGGGGAGCAAACAGG